rnacentral:rRNA from 1 species
CCUACGGGGGGCAGCAGUGAGGAAUAUUGGUCAAUGGACGAGAGUCUGAACCAGCCAAGUAGCGUGAAGGAUGACUGCCCUAUGGGUUGUAAACUUCUUUUAUAUGGGAAUAAAAUGUUCCACGUGUGGGAUUUUGUAUGUACCAUAUGAAUACGGAUCGGCUAACUCCGUGCCAGCAGCCGCGGUAAUACGGAGGAUCCGAGCGUUAUCCGGAUUUAUUGGGUUUAAAGGGAGCGUAGGUGGAUUGUUAAGUCAGUUGUGAAAGUUUGCGGCUCAACCGUAAAAUUGCAGUUGAAACUGGCAGUCUUGAGUACAGUAGAGGUGGGCGGAAUUCGUGGUGUAGCGGUGAAAUGCUUAGAUAUCACGAAGAACUCCGAUUGCGAAGGCAGUUCACUGGACUGCAACUGACACUGAGGCUCGAAAGUGUGGGUAUCAAACAGGAUUAGAUACCCGUGUAGUC